rnacentral:rRNA from 1 species
CAGCCGCCACGGUAAUACGUAGGGUCCGAGCGUUGUCCGGAAUUAUUGGGCGUAAAGGGCUCGUAGGCGGUUUGUUGCGUCGGGAGUGAAAACCCAGGGCUUAACUUUGGGCUUGCUUUCGAUACGGGCAGACUUGAGGCAUUGAGGGGAGAACGGAAUUCCUGGUGUAGCGGUGAAAUGCGCAGAUAUCAGGAGGAACACCGGUGGCGAAGGCGGUUCUCUGGCAAUGUUCUGACGCUGAGGAGCGAAAGUGUGGGGAGCGAACAGGAUUAGAUACCCCAGUAGUCCCUGUCUCUUAUAC